CGGAGGGUGCAAGCGUUAUCCGGAUUCACUGGGUUUAAAGGGAGCGCAGGCGGAUUUGUAAGUCAGUGGUGAAAGGCUUAAGCUUAACUUGGGAACUGCCAUUGAUACUAUAAGUCUUGAAUGUUGUUGAGGUUUGCGGAAUGGGUCAUGUAGCGGUGAAAUGCAUAGAUAUGACCCGGAACACCUAUUGCGAAGGCAGCAGGCUAAACAAAUAUUGACGCUGAGGCUCGAAAGCGUGGGGGAUCAAACAGGAUUAGAUACCCUGGUAGUCCACGCCCUAAACUAUGAUUACUCGACAUAUGCGAUACACUGUAUGUGUCUGAGCGAAAGCAUUAAGUAAUCCACCUGGGAAGUACGACCGCAAGGUUG
rnacentral:rRNA from 1 species